AUGCUAACGCCAGCUCUGAACAGUCAAAAUGCACUCCUUCUGGAGGAAAAGGAGAAGCACGAGAAGGAGCUGAGGAGCCAAAUCAUCCUUGAAGCUGAAGAGUUCAAGAAGGGUUUCGUCGAGAAGCGCAAGCUGAACCUUGAGACAAGCAAGGAUCACAACCGGGAAAGGGAGAAGCUUUUCCUGUCCAACCAGGAGAAGUUCCACAAGGGCGCAGACAAGCAGUACUGGAAGGCGAUAUCCGAGCUCAUCCCACAGGAGAUUGCGCACAUCGAGAAGAGGACGGGCAAGAAGGACAAGGACAAGAAGCCUGGGAUCAUCGUUGUCCAGGGCCCCAAGCCCGGGAAGGCCACCGACAUGGCGCGGAUGCGCCAGAUCCUCUCAAAGCUGAAGCACACACCGCCGCCACACAUGAAGCCACCUCCACCACCUGCUGCAGCACCCGCUGGGAAGGAUGGAACUCCGGCCGCCGCUGGAAAGGACGGAGCUAAGGCGGUAGCGACACCUGCUGCCAAGGAUGCCCCUGCCAACGGCACUGUCCCUGAGAAGGAGAAUGCCGCACCCGCCGCCGCUGCCCCCGCAGCAGCAGCCCCUGCACCACCAGCUGAGCCCAUCGCUGCUGCCUGA
rnacentral:rRNA from 1 species